UUGUUUCCUCACUUUUCUGUCCAUCAUGAAAGCUCCUGGUCUUAAAGGCAAGCGCUGCACGGCAUCUCGAAGCUGCAUUUCAAAAAACAGAGAACACGCCUCAUUCAUCUACACGGCCAGACAACAGGUGUGUUUUCCGUCCACAAGUGAAAGGGAGUAUUAAAAAGUAUCCCUAUGUUUAUAUUAACAACUGAACUAAAUGCACAGAUGAGUCCGACGGCAGAAAGGCGCGUCCAUGAGCCCAGGGGUGUGAGCAGAUAUUUGCUGCAAAGAGUGGGGUCUGAGGCCGCGCGGCUCUCCUACUUCAGCCGCCACAGGAGCGUUACGCAGAGGGAGAUCCUGGAGGCAUGGAGCCAGCUAAGAAGCCGCCGCGGGAAUACAGCUGCACUGGCUGGAGCUUGAGUCUGGCGUUUUUAAACCACGUUUUAAAGUGUAUUAAAUUAAUUUUAAAUGGAUGUUAUUAUUUAUUUGUUGUAAUAAAGCCAUUUUGCUUAA
ensembl:processed_transcript